rnacentral:lncRNA from 1 species
GCAUGAGUCUUUUAUUUUGUACUUUUUCUUUCUUAGUUGAAAUAAGUUGCAUCUAAAUGGAACUAGUUUAUCAUAAAUGUUGGGUAUAAAAUACCCCCCAGCCGAAGUUCGUUAUAGGAGUGACCCUCCGGGGAUCCUACCGACUUCCGACCUCCGACGACAUCUCUCCAAACCACUCUGGCGGUCGAGCCUCCGCAACACUCCCAAGUUUUGCCGACGGAUAAGCCCCCACCAGCGUCGAUCGGAUUCUUCACGACGGAUG